UUUCACAGUCAAUAUUUCUGGAAUAGGAAUGUGUUUUUAUGCAAUAUUGAAUUCGAGUAUAGUUCUCGUAGUGCGGUAUUCAAUAGUCUCAUCCCUCCACAUGCAGCAUUCUGCAGCCAUGUCUGGUAUGUGUUCCAUGCGUACGCCACCGACACCACCCCCUCCACUCCGCCCCCCCCCACUCCGUCCAAAUUCAUUUGCAUCCGCUGAUGAUAUCAGUAAAGAGUUGCUGGCAUCGUAUGAGGCAGGGUGGGGGAAGAAGGCUUAUUUGGAUAAAACUGGACCGCGGAGUGGACACGGCCCUAAAGGAUUGCAGUGAAGAACCUGAAGAUGGAGUUGAAACUCGUCCAGGAGGUCAGCUCGUGGCGCUCUGUGCCUACAACGUAAAAGACCCACACGUAAACAUCAGCAUGAGAAGGGUUUCAAACAUAUUUCGACAUCAUCAAAAAGAAGCGAUCAAUGCCGCAGCGUUCUCUCAUUCACCCUGAACUGGUGGUGAACUCCUCCGGAACGCCGCCAGCCUCUCCACCCUAUCCCCUCGCAGUCCGGGGUCACCAGGGGGGCGUCUCUGUGCCAAUAUGCAGAUGAGCCUGUGCCCCUCCAAUGACUCUGGUGUUAAGCUCCACCCCUCUAUGUAGCAGAGCUCCCGCACCCCACCCCGACAACACUCACACGGAUGGAGGAGUAAACCCACUCACACACGGGUUUAAAUGGGCCUUUAACAGCUUCCGUCCGCUCUUCCUUCAACAACCAAAGUGUGUCGGACCUAAUGGAUGUUGUCGAAGCGAAUAUGUGUCGCCUGAUUUAGAGGAGGAACCCCCGAUGAACAGGCUUCAAUAGCCACUAAAGACUGAGAGAAAGAGAGAAUUACAUCAGCUACGCUACAAAUCAAAGUAAUAUCCUUAAAAGAUAUGGGGAUCGAUAACGUGUCAUCUGGCUGAAUCAUGAGUGUAAAGUGAAUCUAUAUGAGUACUACUUUAUCCCCAAUCUCACUCCCUCGAUGAAAAGCUUGGUUUGUUUUUAAAAGGAAUUGAUUUUACGUAUUGUUAAACCAGAUGUAACAGACGACAAGGAGUGGGGCCAUUUUGACCAGUUUAAUUACAACUGCAUCUUGUAUUUAACUGAUUGAACUUUGAAAAUCAAGAGCAGUGAGUAUUUGUUUGUGCUUUCUGUAAAUCAAUUAAGUUGUAUGUGCUCAUUUUAACAAGAUUAUUGUAAUUGCAUUAAUUUAAUAAAGUUUAGUGUCAAUGCAA